CGUUGGUAAUAGAAUAUAGGAGAAGGGGGUAGCAUUUACCUUCUUCAUCGAAAUCCUCCAGGAGGGGUCGGCAAAAAAAAUGGCUGGCAGGUCUAUGUGGCGCGCCACAACCAAGCUGUUAGUGGCCACCACCGCCCUUGGUGGUGGAGCAGCGGUGGCCACAAUUGCCAGCUCCGACGACCCAGCCAUGGCCCUUAAGCUUUGCACAAAUGUCCCUCUCCGCCUCUAUCGCGAUUCCGUCACUGCUGCCACCAUUGCGUUCGAUUAUGAAUAUUCACUCUGGGGACUGCCAGAAGGUAGUGCAGAGAGAGCAAAAGCCAAACAUGAAGUUCACAUGAGGGGUGCACGCAGGCUAGAAGAACUUUGUUUCAGAAAUGGUGGAAUUUACAUUAAGCUUGGUCAACAUUUAGGACAGCUGGAGUACUUAGUACCUGAAGAGUAUGUUCGUAUAAUGAGGGAAUCAAUGUUAAAUAAAUGUCCUCAUUCUUCUUAUGAUCAAGUGCAUGAAGUUAUCAAGAAAGAGCUUGGAGGUGCACCUGAUGAAAUCUUUGAUGAAUUUGAUCCUGUACCAAUAGCAAGUGCUUCUCUUGCUCAAGUCCAUGUUGCUCGAAUGCAUGAUGGGCAAAAAGUUGCUGUCAAGGUUCAGCACACACAUAUGACAGAUACUGCUGCAGCAGAUUAUGCAACGGUGGAGUUGAUAGUGAACACAUUGCAUCAAUUUUUUCCUUCCUUUGAUUACAGGUGGUUGGUUGCUGAAGUUCGUGAAAGUUUACCUAAGGAACUAGAUUUUUUGGUUGAGGCCAAAAACAGUGUAAGAUGUAUGGAUAACUUUCGGAAGCUGUCUCCUCGUAUUGCAGACUACGUUUAUGCCCCAAGGGUAUACUGGAAUUUAAGCACUUCAAGGCUGUUAACCAUGGAAUAUAUGGAGGCUGCACAAGUAAAUGACUUGAAGAGCAUCCAAAGAUUUGGAAUUCAGCCAAGUGAUGUUGUAAAUUUGGUUAGUGAGACGUUUGCUGAAAUGAUGUUCAAACAUGGGUUUGUGCAUUGUGAUCCACAUGCUGCAAACCUGCUAGUCCGCCCUUUACCUUCUGGCCGUAGAAGCAUUUUUGGAAGGAGAAAACCUCAGUUGAUACUUUUGGACCAUGGUUUAUACAAAGAACUUGAUUACAACACCAGAAUAAACUAUGCUGCACUGUGGAAGGCUUUGGUAUACUCUGAUGCAGAUGGAAUAAAGGAAAACUGUGUAAAACUGGGUGCUGGAGACGAUCUUUACGCAUUGUUUGCUGGGAUUCUCACAAUGAGGCCUUGGAAUAAAGUGAUAGAUUCUUCAGUUGAUCAUCUUGUUGUCAAAGGCACAGACAGCGACCAUUCAGAACUGCAGAUGUAUGCUUCUCAAUAUUUUCCGCAAAUCACUGAACUUCUGAGGAGAUUGCCCCGGGUUAUUCUUCUAAUGCUCAAGACAAAUGACUGCUUACGAGCAGUUAAUGGGUCAUUGAUUCAAGGGCCUUCUCUUGAGUCAUUCUUAAUCAUUGGAAGGGUUUCAUCUGAAGCCGUUCUUGAGUCUAUGUUGUUGCAAAAGAGAUCAUUAUUUUCUUGGAUCAAUUUUUGGAUACAGAAGAUUUUGUUGGAAGGCCGGCUUUGCGUAAUGCAUAUAGCAGUGUGGCUUUUGCAACUUCAGAAAGCAUUGACAUUGUGAAAGCAAGUAUACUUCCAAUUUUAUUGGAUGUCCACUGACAUAGUGAAAGCUUUUUAUCUCUCAGGAUGAUUAACUUUUGGAGAAUCACGUCUCGAUUACAAGCUUCCAAUUCUUGUGCCAAAUUUAAGUAUAUUAGGGGUUGACAUUUGCUUGAACGAUUGCUGAUAGGCAAAGUCGUACCAGCAUCUUGGGGCAAUCAAAGUCUAAAGUAAGGUUUUUUAUAUUGCGUGAGGUUCUGCAAAGGUUUAAUUUGAGGCUUAUUGUAUAAAAACUUUAGCUUCCAUUCCUUUCCAUCUCAGAGGCAUGCACAGAACAACUUAGCUCAACUUUUAUUAUUUUGAGGCAAAAUGGUAUGUAGAUGAGUCUUUGUACUUAUGCUUAUUAUUCCAAGGUAAAAUGGUGUGUAGAUGUCCAUCCUUGUAUUUGUAUGAUUUUGCAUUUUGAAUCCUUCUACUUAACCUUUUUGUCAACUGAAUACUUAAAUCCAGCGGAACACAAUAUUUUAACUACUUUUUUAACUACUUA